rnacentral:rRNA from 1 species
GUGCCAGCAGCCGCGGUAAGACGAGGUGCACAAACGUUAUUCGGAAUUACUGGGCUUAAAGCGUGCGUAGGCGGCUUAGCAAGUCGGGUGUGAAAGCCCUCGGCUCAACCGAGGAAUUGCGCCCGAAACUGCUGAGCUUGAGUGAGACAGAGGUGAGCGGAACUGAUGGUGGAGCGGUGAAAUGCGUUGAUAUCAUCAGGAACACCGGUGGCGAAGGCGGCUCACUGGGUCUCUACUGACGCUGAGGUACGAAAGCCAGGGUAGCGAACGGGAUUAGAAACCCGGGUAGUCC